UUUGGUCUUAGCCAUGUUAACAGUUGGAGUCUUACUGAAUCUGUGGGGUGGACAGGUGUCUUUAUGCAGCUAAUGACCUCAAAUAGGUGCUUCUAAUUUGGAAUAAUAAGUGGAGUGGAGGUGAACUUUUUAAAGGUGGACUAACAGGUGUUUGAAGGUCAGAAUUUUUGCUGAUUGGCAGGUGUUGAAAUACUUAUUUGCAGUAGUAACAUGCAAAUAAAUUAUUAAA